CAGUGCGGAAGGAGGAUGGCUGUGGGGGUAGAUAGAGAGGUAAGCUGGGGCAGACGGGGACACGGGGACCAUGGGUAUGUACCAAGAGACCCACAACUCCAUGAUGUUCUAGAUUCCGUGUGCUGACGUGACACCGCCGGCAUUAGGGCGGACAUCUCCAGUAAACACGUACGGUAGAAGUUAACGCAAAUCACAGCGAGCAUCUUACAAGCCCUGUACCUCUGCUGUCGCCCCUGAACACCCGUGCAUGUGUCACCAGUGAACCUCAGUCGUUUCGAAAGUCGCGACGCCUUUCGGUAAACCAAUCUGAUUAAAAGAACACGAUGAAACCAGCCUGACUGUAUAUAUAUAUACAUGGCUACGUCUACAUAGGCUUUGACGUUCACGUGGAAAGUUUUGACGUUCGGGCCGCUGACCAAGCUUGCCUAUAGGCCUUUAUCCUCACUGACGUAUUCUAUAGGGACAGGGCUACCAUGAAAUCAACCCUGUCCUUGUUAAGUCCAAAUUAAGGAGAUGGAAAACCCCCGGAUGUUGUAAAAGCGAAGAACGUGUGUUUUGAAAAGCAAGGUUGAUUGCAUCUUUACUCCAGUAACUUCCGGAUUAUCCAAACAGCCCGAUGACAGCACGCGGAUAGCCUUUUCGGGCGGACGGUUUACCCAAGAAACACAUCUGAGACUUUAUGUACCUGAAGAGCAUGCAGAGUCAGGCGGCGAGUGCCGGCAGCUCAAACAACGUGGACUGCUGCAUGUAUUACGUCUGAAUGGCGAGUGACAAUGCAUGAAAUCAACACAGCCCAAAGAGACAGGUUGGAAAAUUGAUUGGAAGAGCAGUCGAGCAAAACGAAGAUGGGCGAAGAGCGAGUCUGAUAAAGAUAACUGAGUCCGGCGAAAACGUAAUGAAGUCAGAAAAAAGGAAACGGAACUUCUGCAGGAGGUGUUCGUUUCCCGGUGAACACUUGUCACUCCACUUGACACCUGUCAUCAGUACUGGUCAUUUUACACCAAGCUGUAGAUAGCUGUGACACGGUGGCGAGCAGCUGACGUGCGAACGUCUCCCGAUGUAAACUGAUGUCGUCAAUGACCAGAGUGUGAUGAUGUAAGGGACUCGGAUAUCACCGCUGGUGUCUUGACAAUGGCGAGAAAGCCAGGAACUGACAGAUAAAGGCAAAGAGGCUGGAUUGAGGCGCAGCUGCUGCUAAUGCAUCACAGAGAGGCGGGAAUCCCCGAGGAAUUGCGCUGACCGGAUGACGUAUAGGUCUGGCCUGGUGGCGAUGCUAUAGACUAGCACAACCUCGGUCUCCGUGUGUGAUGGUGUUAUAGACCCUUACCGGCACCCAGCCCCGGGACAAGAGAAACACCACGAACAAACAACAGGUCUGAACAAUAAAACCACUACGUCUACUCCCAGGGUAGGACGGAGCACAGAAGCACCACCGAGAUUCCGAUUGAACUGUGAUGAAUAUUUUAGAUGGGUUGAACU